CUGAACAAACCCUGUGUUUCACUCCUGUCCAAAAUAGCAGGAUGAUCGCACAAUGCAAGAACCUCACGGAAGAAAGUUAUUGGCUGCUGACCAAGGGACUGAGGAUUUCCAAUAUUGCAGUAGAGUAUCUCAUCAAAAGGAUGUGAACCAGGCUUAGCCAAUAACUCUUCUUGUAGUUUCUGUGCAAGAGUGACGAUUUCACCUCUGACAGCAUACUCACAUUUAAGCACCUUAUCGUUAAUGGUGGCGACUGACAGUGGAUGAGUGGAAGGGGAAGACAUGG
rnacentral:misc_RNA from 1 species